GGUAGGGUGGCUUAGUGUUAAGUGGUGGAUUGUAGUCCCAUAGACAGAGGUUAAAUUCCUCUUCCUAUCA
rnacentral:tRNA from 1 species